UACAGAGGUGGCAAGCGUUGUUCGGAAUUACUGGGCGUAAAGGGCGCGUAGGCGGCCUUCUAAGUCAGACGUGAAAUCCCCCGGCUUAACCUGGGAACUGCGUCUGAUACUGGAGGGCUUGAGUGCGGGAGAGGGAUGUGGAAUUCCAGGUGUAGCGGUGAAAUGCGUAGAUAUCUGGAGGAACACCGGUGGCGAAGGCGGCAUCCUGGACCGACACUGACGCUGAGGCGCGAAAGCGUGGGAGCA
rnacentral:rRNA from 1 species